AUUUUAUAUCAGUAAGAGCCCUGAGAGAUGAUCAGGUAGAUAGGUUAGAAGUGGAAGUGUGGCGACACAUGUAGCGGACUAAUACUAAUAGCUCGAGGACUUAUCCAA
rnacentral:rRNA from 1 species